rnacentral:rRNA from 1 species
UGAGUUUGAUCCUGGCUCAGAUUGAACGCUGGCGGAAUGCUUUACACAUGCAAGUCGAGCGGCAGCGCGGGGCAACCUGGCGGCGAGCGGCGAACGGGUGAGUAAUGCAUCGGAACAUGUCCAUGUCGUGGGGGAUAGCCCGGCGAAAGCCGGAUUAAUACCGCAUACGCCCGAGAGGGGAAAGCAGGGGACCGCAAGGCCUUGCGCGAUUGGGUUGGCCGAUGUCCGAUUAGCUUGUUGGUGAGGUAAAGGCUUACCAAGGCGAUGAUCGGUAGCUGGUCUGAGAGGAUGAUCAGCCACACUGGGACUGAGACACGGCCCAGACUCCUACGGGAGGCAGCAGUGGGGAAUUUUGGACAAUGGGGGCAACCCUGAUCCAGCCAUUCCGCGUGAGUGAAGAAGGCCUUCGGGUUGUAAAGCUCUUUUGUCCGGAGCGAAACGGGCGGCCCUAAUACGGUCGUCUACUGACGGUACCGGAAGAAUAAGCACCGGCUAACUACGUGCCAGCAGCCGCGGUAAUACGUAGGGUGCGAGCGUUAAUCGGAAAUACUGGGCGUAAAGCGUACGCAGGCGGUUUUGUAAGCCAGAUGUGAAAUCCCCGGGCUCAACCUGGGAAUGGCAUUUGGGACUGCAAGGCUGGAGUGUGGCAGAGGGGACUAGAAUUCCUGGUGUAGCAGUGAAAUGCGUAGA